GCUGCGGUUAUACUUUUAAGUUAAGUUUUAUGACCUAAAAACAAAAUUUACAACUUACAGUUAUAUGAGUUAAUGAAUAUUUUGUUAUAGCAAACAACUAACAAAACCGGUAGAAUCCGAGUAUGCUAAUUUUUAUAGGUAUUAAAGUAAACCUAAAUUGUGUGGCAGUUAUUUAUUCUUUUUAGAGAAUUUUGGUUUAUAAUUUGAUAAUCCACAAUAUUAUUUACUAAUUUUGUUUAUGUGUGGUUGUCAAGAAAUAAAAGUCAUUUUAAAUCUUCCCCAAAUAACAUAUAGUUUAAUUCAGGAAACUGAAAUGCUUAUAUGUUAAACAAAUAAAAAGUAUUUAAUAGUAGGAAAAAAAAAUCGAAUAAGUUAUAAAUAAGGUUCAUAUUGUCCGUCACUCUCUUAGAGAUAAGUCGUA
rnacentral:rRNA from 1 species